CAUCGGUUGCUGAACUGGUUCGGUCAGCUCAGACUGUAUUUAGUUUCCGUAUAAAAGCAGAACACAUCCAUGAAUGCAGACCAAACCUCUGCUGGCUAUAAAACAAGGAUCCUCCCUUUGGAUCUUUACUACUGCGUGACUUUGGUCAUCUACAUCUCUCUCCGUCUCACAGACACGAAUGGAGUGUAAAAAGACAAUAAAGGAAACAAAAGCUACAGGAGCAUCAGAAAGCACAGAUGAGCAAACAACGAGGACAGAGAGAGAUGGAGGUCAGGAAUAGGACACAAACCUGGGAAUCACAAGAGAAGAGCAGACAGAUAUCAGCUAGAUGUGAGAGUAUGGAGGCGCUAAAGCCGUACUUGUAAUGUGAUCCAGAGAAGAUGAUUCUGAUGUUAUAAGAAUCCCCUUCAUCGCUGAAGUCCAUCAUCAUCAUCAUCAUCCUCAUCAUCAGACGUCUGAUCAGCUUUUACACUCGUCUGAGCACAAACACACUUCAAGAGCUUGUUUCCCAGAGAAUGCUGCACUUUACUCUCAAUCAUAAGAUUGUUUUGAUUUAACUAAAUUUGUUUCAGUUACACUGCCUCAUAUUUCAUGCAUUUUCAUUUACAAUGCAUGUUUUUGCAUUCCUGAAAUUUAAUCGCUCAUCCUGAUUGGAAUACAAAAACAUGCAUAGUAAAUGAAAAUGCAUGCGAUAUUAUAUGGAUGAUAUUUAUAAGAUUUAUAUGACACAAUAUGAUAUUGUGAUUUAUUUCAUCUGAUUUCAAUCAGAAUGGCCGUUUGUGAAUUGAAUGCAUCUGGCUUCGGCUCUCAUGCACUUCCAGUUAUUAUUAGCUGUUCAAAACAGCUGUUUAAAAUAGCAAAACCUGGGUUUUAUUAUGAUAUUUUAAUGAAUUGUCAUUAUUAAUAUGUUGUUCUGUAGUGCAAAUUGUUAUACAAUUUAUGACACUCAAAUCUUAGUAUUUUCAUGAAUCUGAAGUCUCUCACGUUCAGAAAAUCCAUUUUGCUAUUUUAUUUUGUGUCCUUCCAUACCGUUUGUUGUAUGUAUUUAUGAACUUUUCUCCCUAUUCUUAAUAGACUGUAAUGAUUCAGUAUUCUGUUAGUUAUUUGUGUACUUUAGUGUCCUCCGUUCUCAAACUGCUCGUCACAUGUAGUUUAUAUCGAUGCUGGAGUCUCUCACACACACACACACACACACACACACACACACACACACACUCUCUCUCUCUCUCUCUCUCUCUCUCUCUCACCCACACACACAGAUCUCUGUAAUGUAUCAAGUUACUGUAACUGUGAGCUUCAUGUUCUACAGGUGUGUGUGUGUG